rnacentral:rRNA from 1 species
GGAAUCUUGCACAAUGGGGGAAACCCUGAUGCAGCGACGCCGCGUGAGCGAUUAAGCCCUUCGGGGUGUAAAGCUCUUUCGGCAGGGAAGACUUUGACGGUACCUGCAGAAGCAGCUGCGGCUAACUACGUGCCAGCAGCCGCGGUAAUACGUAGGCAGCAAGCGUUGUUCGGAGUUACUGGGCGUAAAGGGUGCGUAGGCGGUUCUCUAAGUUUGGUGUGAAAUCUCCCGGCUCAACUGGGAGGGUGCGCCGAAAACUGGGGAGCUAGAGUGUGGGAGAGGUGAGUGGAAUUCCUGGUGUAGCGGUGAAAUGCGUAGAUAUCAGGAGGAACACCGGUGGUGUAGACGGCUCACUGGACCAUUACUGACGCUGAGGCACGAAAGCGUGGGUAGCAAA